CCUACGGGGGGCAGCAGUGAGGAAUAUUGGUCAAUGGGCGUAAGCCUGAACCAGCCAAGUCGCGUGAGGGAUGAAGGUUCUAUGGAUCGUAAACCUCUUUUAUAAGGGAAUAAAGUGUGGGACGUGUCCUGUUUUGUAUGUACCUUAUGAAUAAGGAUCGGCUAACUCCGUGCCAGCAGCCGCGGUAAUACGGAGGAUCCGAGCGUUAUCUGGAUUUAUUGGGUUUAAAGGGUGCGUAGGCGGUCUUUUAAGUCAGCGGUGAAAGUCUGUGGCUCAACCAUAGAAUUGCCGUUGAAACUGGGAGGCUUGAGUAGGUUUGAGGCAGGCGGAAUGCGUGGUGUAGCGGUGAAAUGCUUAGAUAUCACGCAGAACCCCGAUUGCGAAGGCAGCCUGCCAGGCCAUGACUGACGCUGAUGCACGAAAGCGUGGGGAUCAAACAGGAUUAGAUACCCCAGUAGUC
rnacentral:rRNA from 1 species